CCGGUUUUUUUUUUUUUUUUUUUUUUUUUUUUUUUUUUUUUUUUUUUUUUGAGACAGUCUCACUCUGUUGCCCAGCCUGGAUUGCAGUGACAUGAUCACAGCUCACUACAACCUCAACCUCCCUGGGAUCAAGCUAUCCUCCCAUCUUAGCUUCCCAAGUCAUUGGGACUACAGGGAAUGUGCCGCUGUGCCCAGCCAAACUGGAUCUUCAGUAUGUUUAUGUAACUUUCCGGGAGCAGAGUGUUUUCAGCUUUGGAGCUUCAAUCGAACUUUUGAGACAAGAAGAGGAAAGACAAGAAAAGUGUCUUCUUCACAAUUUUAUUAUUUUGGUGUCAAAGAUUCCAGUUGAUUAUCCCUUUCUAUCUCCAAAGUCUGGCAAACCCUACUUACCUCCCCAACUGCUUUCGAAAGCAUAAACAAAAUAAAAUAACAUCAUCAAAGAUUCCAGAAGAUUGGGAAAGGUGUGGAAGGUAGUGAUUAAAGUAUAGUUGUAAGGGCCCUUUGACAUCAAUUUUAUUCUCUCAGGGGGCUUAAAGUGUUUCUUUUCUGCUUCCUUUACUACAAAGAUAUUUCACUCAAACUCUAUCUUGUUAUAGACUCUUGAAAACUGGGGAUAUGGUUUCUAGCCUUGUAAUUUGUGUAAUAAAAUGUCAG
rnacentral:lncRNA from 1 species